rnacentral:lncRNA from 1 species
GAGGUCCCCGCGCGGCCCGGGCCUGGCGCCCUGAGGGGAAGAGCGGCCCGGCCCGAGGACCUCCAGCAGGUGAUGGUGUCAGGACCCAACCUCAAUGAAACCAGCAUUGUGUCUGGUGGCUAUGGGGGCUCUGGUGAUGGACUCAUCCCCACAGGUAUGAAUGUUCAGAAACAGGAAUCUUGGGUGGAGGAGGGGACAGGAAUGGUUUGGGGAAGCAUAGGAUAUGUCUAGGAAAGCUUGAAUUAUGUCUGGAGAUCUUGGGAACUUCUGCUUGUAGGAACCUCAUGGACUCUCCUCAGCCCAAAAGCAACUCCCAGCGUUGUCCAUCCAUUUCCCUUUUGCCACUUAGCCCCUGAAAUGGCUCAUUUGUCCUUUCCCUGCCACCACCUGAGUCAAGUUAAGACCUGCUUCACAGGAAUGCCCCCCCUCUACAGCUUGAGGCUGAGUUGGAACUUUGUGAAGCUUCUCAGAAUUUUUAGAUUCUAAAGUUUAGAGGAACAAACAGCCCUGAAUCUCACACUAAGAUUCCACAUGGGAAUGCAACCAGGUUUCUUGUUAUCAUGACCCACCAUCCUUGACUCCUGCUGCCCCCAAACUCAGUGUAUUUUCUUCUGUUUCCUCUGCCCCUGUACACCAACAACUCCCUGCAAACCCCUCCUCUAACCCCCAAGGAGGCCAUAUGUAUAUCAGGAUUUGGUUCUCACCGCGCAAAGUCCGAGUUCCUCCUAGUAAGCAGGAGCAUCCAGUUGUCUCUAGCAUCUCCUUCAGGGAAGUCAAUUUCAUGUGCUCGAAGAGAAGUAUGGGUGGGGCCACAGAGGUGUCUGGUGUAUCUGAGAGAGGCUGGUGUCAGAGAACUUGAUCCUUUAGGGUCUGGCCGCCAUCCAUCUCACAGCACCACUCCUUCUGGCCCUGGAGAUGAGGUGGCUCGGGGCAUUGCUGGAGAAAAGUUUGACAUCGUCAAGAAAUGGGGCAUCAACACCUAUAAGUGCACAAAGCAACUGUUAUCAGAACGAUUUGGUCGAGGCUCACGGACUGUGGACCUGGAGCUAGAGCUGCAGAUUGAGUUGCUGCGUGAGACGAAGCGCAAGUAUGAGAGUGUCCUGCAGCUGGGCCGGGCACUGACAGCCCACCUCUACAGCCUGCUGCAGACCCAGCAUGCACUGGGUGAUGCCUUUGCUGACCUCAGCCAGAAGUCCCCAGAGCUUCAGGAGGAAUUUGGCUACAAUGCAGAGACACAGAAACUACUAUGCAAGAAUGGGGAAACGCUGCUAGGAGCCGUGAACUUCUUUGUCUCUAGCAUCAACACAUUGGUCACCAAGACCA